UUCGGCAGUGUUUCCAAUUCCUGCAAAACAUGUUUUGAUGGAGGGGAAAAAGGGAACAACAUUCGGAUAUUAACAUGAACAGAUAUCGACUGCUGAUUCUUUUGACAGGGGUGUUUGCUGACAGCAUUGCACCAAAAAAGGAUGGUAGAUAUAAAACCAGAAAAGAAGGAGAGUCUGUGACACUGAGCUGCACAUUUACCCUCAGCAAUACUGCGAUUUUACUUUACUGGUACAUGCAGUAUCCAAACAGAGAACCUCAGUUUUUACUGUAUAAAGGUGAUCGAUCGUCUGAGGACGAGAUUGUAACAGACAGUCGUUAUAAAUCAACUGUCUCCCCUACGUCCACAUCACUCACCAUUAACUCUUUGAAUCUGUCAGAUUCAGCCCUGUAUUACUGUGCUCUUAAAAAAAGGACCACGGUGACACAAAGUCCACAGGCGCUUUACAAAAACACAAACACGAUUAGAGUGGCAGUUAUCAACCACAAAUAUGUGUCUGAAACCACAAGACAACAGGAUGCGGUCACACCUGCUGAGGAGGGAAAAACACAGUAA